rnacentral:rRNA from 1 species
UACAGAGGUCCCAAGCGUUGUUCGGAUUCACUGGGCGUAAAGGGUGCGUAGGCGGUCUGGCAAGUCUUGUGUGAAAUCUUCGGGCUCAACCCGAAGUCUGCACAAGAAACUGCCGGGCUUGAGUAUGGGAGAGGUGAGUGGAAUUUCCGGUGUAGCGGUGAAAUGCGUAGAUAUCGGAAGGAACACCUGUGGCGAAAGCGGCUCACUGGACCAUAACUGACGCUGAGGCACGAAAGCUAGGGGAGCAAACAGG